UGUGUGUGUGUGUGUGUGUGAGAGAGAGAGAGAGAGAGAGAGAGAGAGAGAGAGAAUGUGUGUGCGCGUGUGAUGUGAUGUCAGUGGAUCAUGGAGCCUCGCUCUGACCGCGGUGUGUCGGAGUCUCCUGGCCGCACGGACGCGCUUCUAACUCGGUUACUUUUGCUGCGGAGCCCCGCUGAACGGAGCUAAAGCUGGAGUGUCGGAUCGGUACCGAUGGCUGAUCCUCUGCGGAGGACAAUUCUAGCCAAACUCAGGGGCAAGAAGCCCAAAGGGAAAGACGCGGGAGAAGGUAAAGAAAAAGUUUCUCAAACGCAGACAGAGAGAGAUUACAUUUCACAUGCGAUGAUGUGCGAGGAGCGGCGUGUGAACGCGGAUCCCCGGCGCGCGGAGCGGGUCACCGGCGGCCCGGUGAACGCGCACGGAGGUCCCGCUGAUCAAAGGGAACGCGGAGACUCGAUCGGCUUCAGCGGCUGCGGUUUCAAACCCCGACGAGAGGCUUUAAAGCUAACAGAUGGUCAAGAUCUACAGAGUAAACAACCAAAUGCUGCACCACUCGAGCAAAAGGCCGGGGACAACAUGAGCGACUUUGAACGUCACGUCAGGGUUCCCCAGCCUCACGUGUGUGACGCGGAAAGCGAUUUAAUCCAGCUCAUAGAGAGUUCCCUGGAGUAUCAUGGAGAUUUUAGGAUACAGGGUCCGACUUUUUUCCCCACUGAUCUGGAAAUAACCGUGUCCCCCGGGCUGAGAGACGGGGCCCCUCGACACCACUCGGUCGAGAGCGAGGACGACGAUUAUUACGAUAACCAGAUUCUGUCCUUUUAUGACGUCAAAGAGCGGAACACGUCAAUAUCGGCGUCGGACGCGAGCGAAACCGACAGACUGAAGUCCCAGCUGAAAGACGCGUAUUAUUUGCUGAUAAACGCGACGCACGGGAUCAGUGUCGACGGUCAGCUCGAAGAUCACGGGUUCGGGGAUCAGUCCAGCAGCGCGUCCCACGACAGCGUCAGCACAGAGAGCGAUUCCGCUUCAGCGUUCUCCGCGUUCCUGACGCAGAGCAGGAGCUUGCGGAACAUUCGCGACGCGCGUCCCAAGCCGACGCUCCAGCGGUCGGUGAGCGAUAGCGAGGUGAAGUACGCGUCGAACCGCGAUGAAGAGCCGCGACGCGCCGUCGCAUCGGGUCUCGAUGUGCAACAGGUGGAUCCUACGCAAAACCUCCCGACGCCUGCGUCAUCGCGUCAAUCCUGCGACGACGCAGCGGUGCCCAAACACCCCGGAGUCACCGUCAACAAGAUGCAAGAGUGGAUGCAGAGAGGUCGCGUGCUGUCGUCCGAGAUGAAGCAGAGGAUCGCGGGCUCCAAGCUGAGAGCCAGUCACGUGAUGCAGCAGACAGCACCACUGGAGUUCGUCUCCGGUCCGUCUGUAUUUCAGCGAGACUCCAGCGCACAACAGGCUCCGUUCAACCACAUCACUGUCUCCAAAAAACGGCAGUGGCUCCAUCAGAGCUGCGCUCGGCCCGUCCUGAAGCCCGAGGACGUCACAGCGCCCCCUUCAGCCGAGGAGGAGCACACACACCCACAAACACACCCUCCAUCGAACAAUAACUCACGUCUAACAGACAAAGAAGCGCCGAACCCAGCCGAGGAUAGGGAGGGAGAGAUCUGGUACAACCCCAUCCCGGAGGAUGAAGAGGCCGAUCUUCCGAACUGUGUUCCCAAAAUCAGAAUCCUGACGGGACGAGGAGGAGCGGAUCGAGACGAAAGACAGACGCAGGAGGAGAGCAGACCCACAGAUCCUUCAGAGCAAUCCACUGGUGGACUUUCUCUCUCUUCUACUCCCAGUCCAGCUAAAAGGAGCACUGCUAUCAACUGGUCUUUUCCCGAUAGAAUCAAGUCACCACGGACUGUCCGAAAACUGUCCAUGAAGAUGAAGAAACUGCCUGAUCUGAGUCGGAAGCUUAGUGUUAAAGGGACCCCUUCUAGCACUGUGGCCAUCAGCAACAGCCAAUCAGAAACCAGGGCGCACUCACCUACAGCCAAUGGGUUGGCAGAGUUGGGCAAGUCCCAGCCCAGACGGUCCCCGGCGGGUGUGAUGACUGCAUUGGCGAGUGGUAAUGUUAUUUGGCGAUACCAUCUCGACAGCAGUGUUUCUACGCAGCACAACUUUGACAAGAGAAGGAGCAACACCAGUGGCGUUCCCAAAUCGGCCAGUAAGGGAGGUUACCUAAGUGAUGGAGACUCACCUGAACUUGUAGCCAAGUCUGGCAGGCACGGGAACUCGGAAAGAAAGAACGGGAAAGCCCGGGACAGGGAUCCCAAUGGGAAUGGUGGAAGUCCGAAGCUCCCUGGUACGGAGCUGGAUAUCGAUGCCUUCCGUUCGUACAGUUUCUCAGAGCAGCCAAAGUCGUUAACGUACAUCUCUGGACUAAUGAGUCUGCACUUUUAUGGCGCAGAGGACCUGAAGCCACCGCGGGUUGAUUCUCGUGAUGUUUACUGCGCCAUCCAGGUGGACUCUGUCAACAAAGCUCGUACAGCCUUGCUGACCUGUCGGACGGCCUUCCUUGGCAUGGACCACACCUUCAACAUUGAGCUGGAGAACGCUCAGCACCUCAAACUUGUCGUCUUCAGCUGGGAGUCAAUGCCACGAAGGAAUCGAGUGUGUUGCCAUGGAACUGUGGUUCUCCCGACCCUGUUUCGUGUGAGAAAGACGCACCUGCUUGCAAUCCGCCUGGAACCACGUGGAAUGAUCUACGUGAAGCUGAGCCUCAUGGAGCAGAGGCAGACCUCUCUUGAUGGACAGGAGGGGGAUCAUGAAAUGCAGGUGUUUGGCCUAGAGGCUCGGCGCGUGGUGGAACGGGAAGCUUCAGGAUUAAUGGUUCCACUGCUCAUCGAGAAAUGCAUCUCUGAGAUCGAGAGGCGGGGUUGUCAGGUGGUGGGUCUGUAUCGUCUGUGCGGUUCGGCUGCGGUGAAGAAGGAGCUGCGGGAAGCGUUCGAGAGAGACAGUCACUCCGUCGAGCUCUCGGAAAACAACUACCCUGAUGUUAACGUCAUUACAGGCGUGCUGAAGGACUAUCUCCGAGAGCUUCCUCAUCCUCUCAUCUCGAAGCCUCUCUACGAGUCUGUUCUGGACUCGAUGGCCAAGAGGCCGCUGCAGAUGGAGAGCGGCGUCUGUGAGAACGACCCGGCAGACUCGGAUCACGCCGUCGGCUCACUGCGGAUCCUGCCGGAGGUUGAGAAGGCGACCCUGCGGAAGCUUCUGGAUCACCUGAAGCGCGUGGCGUCCCAUCACGAGGUCAAUAAGAUGACCUGUCAGAACCUGGCGGUGUGUUUCGGGCCGGUUCUGCUCGGUCAGAGACCCGAGGCGUCCUGCCACGGGAAGCGGGUCUUCAUCGACUCCGAGGAGCUUGCAAGCGCUCUGCACUUCAAGGAACACAUCGAGGUCCUUCAUUACCUGCUCCAGCUCUGGCCAGUUGUGAAUGCUCAGAGUGAAUCUUCUACUUCAGUUCCUGCCCCAGCGGAGUCGCUCCCAGCAACAACAUCUGCCGUAAGAAGGAGGAAAGAGCGUCCACAGGUGGUGAAUCUAACCGAUGAGGACAUGGCAGGUGUUUUGAGGCCGAGAGUUGGCCGCCUGGACAGUCCCAGUAACCGCUACGCCGGGGACUGGAGUGGAUGCCAGGAAACAUACCUCCAACCGACUUCCCCAGAGGAGGCAGACUAUGACGAGGUUCCCACCGAAGAUCCUCCAAACACAGGACAGGAGGACUUAUCAAAGGGUACUGGAGAUGUAAUCUCCAUACAAGAGUUACCCGAGGUGGACGAGGCAGUGGAGAGGGUUGAGGAAAUGCAGAUAGAAGAGGAAGAGAGUGAAGAAGAGAAUACAGAAGUUUUGGACAAGCUACAAGUUGAGGAACCACUUUCCAUCAGCCUCUGCGAUCAGAUCCUUUCUGAUCACAAGGAGCACAGACCCUACCAUCCCUACAUGAAGAUUCAGGAGAUAAGCCCAGUCCUAAACAACAGGAUCAACCUGCGGGACCUGCAGGAGAGCAUUGACACUCUUAUCGGCAACCUGGAAAGGGAGCUCAACAAGAACAAGCUCAACAUAGGGUACUGACUCUUUAACCGUACGGUCGAGAUAUGCUAGUGAUUGCCUAGAUACAUCAGCGCUACGUGACUUUCUUGCUCCCAUGCAAACUUGGGAUGCAUGUACAAGAAGACAUUCCUCACUUGGGAUUUGUGUUUUCAUUUGUUUCCUGGUCUCCAUGUUGUUGAGCUCAUCGUUUUUCUUCUUAUGAGAAGAACUCUGUGAACCCUGAGGGGUGCACCAGGUGCCUUCAUUUGUGUUACAACCGCAAGAGCUUUUUUACUUUCUACAGAUGUACAAAACAUUACGAUGAAAGCAAUGCACUUAUGGGGCCUGCUGUUAAAUGCAUGGCCAGUUCAGGUACAGGGGUGAAGCCUUAUGAUGAGAGAACUAGAUACUGUAGAUACUUCCCUAUACCAUGGGUCCUGUUCAUGGAGAUCUAGCUUCCACUUCAGUUUCAACCCUACAAACACCAGAUAAUCAGGGUCUUGGGGUUCCCUUAAAGAGGUAGACCACAAGAGCAGGAUUGAGUACCAUAUCCUAACCCCAGCCCUAUGACUCUGAACACUACAUCAGGGAUUUGAAUGCAAAUUACCUACAGAGGAGAUGGUGUUAGACUCCCUAAACUCUGAAUGCUAUAUCCAAACCCUAACCCGGCUCUAAACAAGGGGUGUCCCGUCCUACCUCUGGAAAGCCACCUUCAUCUCUAGCUCUAAUUAAACACACUUAAUCCAGGUAAUCAAGGUCUUGGAAUUCACUUAAAGAGGAGGUAGAUCACCAAGUUCAGAAUUGAGCACCCGACCCAGAACCCUACAUCAGGGUACUUAAAAGCAAUUUACCUAGUGAGGUGGUUUUAGUUGGUAAUAUAAAAUCCCUGCACUGUACUCCCUAAACUCUGAAUGUUAUAUCCUAACCUUACCCUAAACCUUACACCCACACCCACUGGUGUUCACUCCUGGACCUGGAUAUCCGGCUUCCUACAGUCUUCACCCUUUAAACACUCUUGAACAAGCUAAACAAGUUCUUGGGAUUUGCUUAAAGAGGAGGUAGAUCACCAAGAGUCUAAUUGAGCACCCGACCCUGAACCCUACAUCAGGGUACUUAAAAGCAAAUUUCCUAGUGAGGUGGUGUUAGUCGGUAAUAUAAAAUCCCUGCACUAUAUGUUAUACCACUAUAUGUUAUGUCUUCAGUCCUGGACCUGGAUAUCCGGCUUCCUACAGUCUUCAUGUAUUAAACACUCUUGAACAAGCUAAACAAGUUCUUGAGAUUUGCUUAAAGAGGAGGUAGAUCACCAAAAGUGGAAUUGAGCACCCAACCCUGAACCCUACAUCAGGGUACUUGAACGCAAUUUACCUAGUGAGAUGGUGUUAGUUGGUAAUAUAAAAUCCCUACAAUGCACUCCCUAAACUCUGAAUGUUAUAUCUUAACCCUAUCCUAAACCUUACACCCACACUACUGUGUUCAGUCCUGGUCCUGGAUAUCCGGCUUUCUACAGUCUUCACGCUUUAAACACACGAGCUAAACAAGUUCUUGGGAUUUGCUUAAAGAGGAAGGUAGAUCACCAGGAGCAGGAUUAAGCACCCCAACACAACAACCCUUAACCUUUUUUCAGGGGUCUCAAAUGCAAAAUACCUAGUGUUUGCUGGUAGUUUGAGAUCCUUGCAACAUACUCUCUAAACUCUGAAUGCUAUAUCCUAGCCUUAACCCUAUCCUUACCCUUACACCCUAAACAAGGGAUGCCUAGUCAUGUUCCUAUUAUCGUUUAACUUUCAUGCAGUUGCGUUGAAGAUAAAUUUAGCUUGAAGGUGGCUCUUCAGUAGCAGUAUCGAACACCCAACAUCCCUUCGAUUCAGGGAGCGACUAACGCUGCUGGGCAAGUUGAGGUUGUGGUCGUAAAAGAAUAAAACUGUGACUGUUUAAGCUUUUUUUCCUUAUAAAUAAAUAAAAAUAAAAUAUUUCAGACGUCCCCUUAAACAAGCUAUGGACAGCUGAAGAUGAAUAUGCUUGUAGUAAGUAGUAAAAUACAUAUUUAAUAAUAGUCAGGCAGAACUUUAAUGCAAGGUUUUAUGACUACAUUUUAACUUAAAAUUGUUAACGUUUAUUUUGCCGCUAAACACAUACUGAGUGGGUAAAAUUUCACUUUAAAUUAAAAGAGCAAUCUAGUCCCUCCAUGGUAACCACCUUUUGAUCAUUUUAUUUGUAAAUGCAUCAUAGUGCGCAGUCCAGGGAUACAAACUCAUCAGUAUUUGACAGACACAUGUAUGUGUAAAUACAGUCGGAAUAUGUAUUUUUGAUUACAUAUACUUCAGUUUGUGCAUAUGUUCAUCAACUACCUUGUAGUAUUUGGCCUGUAGAUCAGCCUUAAAUAAAUGAGUGUGUAUAUAUAUAUAUGUAGUUAUAGUUGGAUUUAUGUAAUAUUAUAACCCACAGUCACAGAACAUGGAGGGAUUCUGGGUAAUUUGUGGUCACGAAAGUGCAGGAAAUUUGAGCAUUGCAUGGUCAAAAGCUUUACGGUCAAAAAUAAAGUGUAUCUCAGUGUCUCCUACAGCAGGACGUAUUUAUGCGUGUAAAUAGAGAUUAUUUUAAUUACAGUGAAAUCGUUUUUUUCUACAUUUGGCAGCUGCUAGUGUUUAUGGCUCGGUUGUAAAUGUGCAGGUCUUGUGGAUGUAAGACUGAAUCUUUACAUGAGCUGUUUGUUUUCUGACUGUGCUUCUCAAUGGACAAUGCUACGGUCUGGUUGAAAAUAUAAUUUUAAGUCUAAAUAAAGUAUUUGUUACACAGGAAAUGGAAAAUAGAAACAAGUGAAAUAAUUUGGGUCGACGGGAGGUUCGUUCGGUUGCUGUAGCCUUCGUUUUCUCUCAGUGGGGACGGUCACACUAGAUUUUAGGUAUGCACCUUUUUUGCAUACAUUUUUGCUAUAUAUAUAUACAGUACAGACCAAAAGUUUGAAAACAUU